rnacentral:misc_RNA from 1 species
GAACGCACAUUGCGCCCCUUGGUAUUCCGGGGGGCAUGCCUGUUCGAGCGUCAUUAUAACCCUCAAGCCUAGCUUGGUAUUGGAGCAUGCUAUUUAGCAGCUCUUAAAAUCAGUGGCAGUGCCCUCUGGCUCUAAGCGUAGUAAUUCUCUCGCUAUGGAGUCCAGUUGGCCCGCGCCAGAACCCCCAAUUUUCUAUGGUUGACCUCGGAUCAGGUAGGGAUACCCGCUGAACUUAAG